CAAUAGCGUAUAUUAAAGUUGUUGCGGUUAAAAAGCUCGUAGUUGGAUUUCUGCCGAGGACGACCGGUCCGCCCUCUGGGUGAGCAUCUGGGACGGCCUGGGCAUCCUCUUGGGGAACGUAGCUGCACUUGACUGUGUGGUGCGGUAUCCAGGACUUUUACUUUGAGGAAAUUAGAGUGUUUCAAGCAGGCGCACGCCUUGAAUACAUUAGCAUGGAAUAAUAAGAUAGGACCUCGGUUCUAUUUUGUUGGUUUCUAGAGCUGAGGUAAUGAUUAAUAGGGACAGUUGGGGGUAUUCGUAUUUCGUUGUCAGAGGUGAAAUUCUUGGAUUUCCGAAAGACGAACUACUGCGAAAGCAUUUACCAAGGAUGUUUUCAUUAAUCAAGAACGAAAGUUAGGGGAUCGAAGACGAUUAGAUACCAU
rnacentral:rRNA from 1 species